CCGACCGAACCAAUUCGCAUCCCAACCCCACCGCGCGCGUCCAUGCCCCCACUGCCCCAGCGCCGGCGGGCUCCCUCGCCGGACGCGUCGGGCGGAGCCACCGGCGGAGCCAGGCUCGCUGUGGAGCAAGCCUCUGGCCCGUGAGAAGCAUGUCUCCGCAGGAGGCACGGCAGCGCGCCCUGGUAGAUUGCAACGGCGGAAAGGAGGUUAUUGUGCUGUUCCAUUUGGCUGAGUAUGGAAGUUAAUGGUGGUUGAGUGCAAGAAAAGAAAUAUAACUAACACUGCAAAGAUCAAGGGAUAUAGAAACAGAGCUAAUUGCCACUAGUGAUGAAAACAGUCUCAUGACUCGUGAAAGCUUGAUGGUCACUGCUUGCUGACUAGUUUCAGACUGUUGGGUGCUCUAAGGGCAGCAAGAGGGCUUCUCUAGAAAGUGAGGUACAGACUUAAGACAACCUCCCAUUCCUGAUCAGGUAUCGCUCGAGUGUGUAGGUUUUCCGGGAUGCAGACAAUGCAUCAGUGAUUAGACAGUGUCUUUGAAGCCAAUGCUGCUAGGAGUUUCUAGUUUAUCAACAGAUUUCCUCUUAGUUGUUGAUCACAGCAAGAAACGGCUGUCCUUGCUAGCUAGUCAUUUCGCUUUUAGGUGUUCGUAGGUAAGAAAAACAUGCAUAGAAUCAGGCAUCUUGACACUUGUUAGACAGCAACAAUGAUGACAUUGCCAUUUGCUAGAGAACAAUGUCAAUGCGAACAAGAAAGCCAAUUGUUUUUUGUUCAA